AUUGAACGCUGGCGGAAUGCUUUACACAUGCAAGUCGAACGGUAGAGGGGGCAACCCCUCGAGAGUGGCGAACGGGUGAGUAAUAUAUCGGAACGUGCCCAGUCGUGGGGGAUAACGUAGCGAAAGUUACGCUAAUACCGCAUACGAUCUAAGGAUGAAAGCGGGGGAUCGCAAGACCUCGCGCGCUUGGAGCGGCCGAUAUCAGAUUAGGUAGUUGGUGGGGUAAAGGCUCACCAAGCCAACGAUCUGUAGCUGGUCGUGAGAGGACGACCAGCCACACUGGAACUGAGACACGGUCCAGACUCCUACGGGAGGCAGCAGUGGGGAAUUUUGGACAAUGGACGCAAGUCUGAUCCAGCCAUUCCGCGUGCAGGAUGAAGGCCCUCGGGUUGUAAACUGCUUUUGUACGGAACGAAAAGGUCUCUCUUAAUACGGGGGACUCAUGACGGUACCGUAAGAAUAAGCACCGGCUAACUACGUGCCAGCAGCCGCAGUAA
rnacentral:rRNA from 1 species